AAAUGAAUUUGGAAUGAAGACCUCUUGUCCCCAAUAUAGUUCCUCUCACCUAGGGUUUUACCGCAACUCUCCUCGGACUCCUCCAUAAGGACCAUAACUAGCUACAAGCAGCCCCUUCCUCACCACCCAUCAGAAAAUGGUUUAGGGACGCCAAGGAGAGCGCGUCAGGCUUUACAUGAGAGGAACUAUAUUGGGGUACAAGAGGUUGCAGUCCAACCAAUACCCGAACACUUCGUUGAUUCAGAUCGAAAGAGUGAACACAAAGGAGGAGGUGGCUUGGUACCUCGGCAAGAAGAUGGCGUACAUCUACAAGGCUAAGGUUAAGAAGAAUGGAUCUCAUUACCGCUGUAUUUGGGGAAAGGUUUGCAGGCCUCACGGUAACAUGGAGAAGUUUUUCAUGAGAACAAUUUGUGUGGUUACUGAUGAACAUGACCAAAAAAUGUUGGUGGAGAGAGAACGAGCAAGAUGUGGAUCUGAAGACUAUACAGAUGAUGUCAAUCAUGCUUAAAAUUGUUUGUGUUACACAAUUCAUCCAAAAUAUGGCUGUUAGAUAUGCAGAAUUGAUGGAGACUUGUGUGCACAACAUGUGGGGGGUGAAAGGGACAGAUUUUGUUAAUUUUCAUAAGGCGACUUGAUUUGUUAAGUAAUAUCCCCUCCACAUUUCAAGAAGCAUGUUAGAAAAGAUGGCACUGUGGCUAGUUUCCAAGUAUUUUGAAACUUCCCCAGUAUAAGUUAUCCAAAGUUACUGCAGACACAGUUGAAAGCAAUUUCGUUGAUCGGCGCAGAUUUAUCCUAAUUUAAUAUAAUGAGUUAGAUUAGCAUUCAAUAACUUUAAGUUGACUUCUUUUUGGACACAGUUUGAUGUUCUGCUGUUGGGGCACUGAUGUGUAAUGUUUAGACUUGAGGAGGGUUUCUCAUAUGCAUGAAUGCUACAUUUUCCAUGUUUGACCUGUUCCAUCUGGCUAUGACUAGAUUUUGCAAUUUGUUGGAGUUCCUGAAAUUUGAUAACUGUGUCCAUGCUGUGGAGUGGUACACUAGACAUUCAGAAGCUACUCCUGAUUUUUGUGAUCAUUAUCGGUUUCUACUGUUUCCAUUCUUAGUGUUGUCAUGAAUUAGGUUUUGUUAAAUUGUUAUGGAGUCGUUUUUGACUAUUUGCUUGGCUACUAGUAAUUUGUUUGGACAUUUACAGUUUUCUUAUUAUAUAUCAACACAACAUACAAUGCACCAAAGAGGGUUAUUGUUCACUUUUCGUUGUCAUCACGUGCUACUCACGUGAGUUAUCUAAAUUGGUUCUUCUCGGUGCUCCAGCAUCGCCCAUGGAUUUCUGAUGGGAUCAGAGGCUCAUGUGAUUUUCUUUCUUCUUUCGCAGAUGUCUUGAGCUACCAGAAGAACCUUGCCUAAAAUGAUGAUUGGCCCGAUUUACCAUCUUUAUCUGUUGGAUAUUGGCCAUGAACGCUGCUCUAAAUUUCAACAUAACAUAUUAUCUCUUCCUACCGGCUCACCCUUUUCUUCACUUUGGUUUUCAUAUUGGUUUCUCUUUCUAGGGUUUUCACAUCUCUUUUUCUGUCUGGCUUGUCUUUUCUCCUUAUCCUUUCCUUGCUCUAAUUGUGGCUUCUUUUCUUGCGUACUUCCAUCUUCUACCCUAAAACCUCAACCCUUCUUAUUGUGAUAUCAUAAUGUGAUGAUAUUAUUAUUUGAUUUUGGGGGUUUUUUGGUUCAUAUGUGAUUUUUGGGGGUUGUUUUUUGUUUUUCGUUUCCUAUUCUUUUGGUUUUGGGUGUUUGUGUCUUUUUAUUUCCUUUAUUUUUCAUGUAUCUGCUUUUCCACUUUUAGUAGGUCUCCCUGUAUUUGGAUUUGGCCAUUGCUCUAUCUACAUGAAACUUAGGCAUAUGGAAUUAUUAUGUGAUUUUUAGGGGGUUGUUUCUUGUUUUUCCAUUUCUGUUUCUUUUGCUUUUGGAUGUUUGCUUGUACCUUUUUAUCUGCUUUCUUUCUGAUCUGGCCAUUGCUUUGUCUUUUCUUUAUUUUGUCCUGGUUACUAUCAGUUUGCUUCAAGUAGAAUGUGUUCUCAGAGUUGCACCGUCUCCGCAGCUGACCACACAUAAGGUAACUCACGACUCUGCCUUCCUUCCUUUCCUUUUUUUUUUUGGGUCUAUUUUUGAGUGAUCCGAACUAUUUUUUUUCACUUAGAGAUUAUGUAAAGAACAAUUAUUACAUCAAUGGCUGGCCAUAGCCAACAACAUAUUUUGCCAUUGGUUAUUCUGCGACCUUGCCCCUCCUUCCUUCACUUUUCUAUUCUUAGUGGUCUCUCGAUGCUCUGUGGUUCGUUUUUUCCCUUUAUACCCAAAUGAUAUAUUUUGAUUUCCUCUGGUUGCUAGGGACUCUUGAAAAACAAAGCUAAUGAUUAAGUGUUUUCCAUUUCAUUAUAGGAGAAAUAAUUGCAGGAACAAAACAACUUCUUGUCAAAGCAGGUGCAUUGGAUAAACCUUACUUUUUGCAUCUUUAGAUGCAUUUUCCCCUUAUUUUUACUGUUCCAACUCUCAUCCUAAGUGCAAAGAAAAUAAUCAUUUGUUCAUUAUUCGCACCUCCAAUUUGAGUUAAAGGAAAAUGAGAACAUAGUUACUGUAUGCUGCUCAUCUGCAAUCUGAGCUGCUGCCUGAGUUGGUGCCCUUUUCUUUCUUAAAAUUAGGUACUGUCUCUGAAAAUCUCUUGCCACUAUUCUGUGUAAAUAGACACAUGCCGAUCCCAGUAAUUCUGAUGCAACUUUUGAUCUACUACUAUUGCAGAAAGACCAGUGAAGGCUAGGCUGCAACCCACCAAAUUUAAAAGAUCUUUUCCACUGUGCUUCUAAAAAUUUUGAUAUCGAGAUAUACUCUUCACCUUGGAGAAAAAUCCGUUUCGUGCUUUCAAGAGAAUUAUAUACAUGCAUAUGACUAAACAUUCUCCAAUUUGAUUCACUUCCUCAACUAAUGUUGUUAGAUUAUUUAUUUUAUAUUCUUCGAAUUUUAUUUGUAUUUUAUUAGCAAAAUUGAUGCAAUUAAGGAGUUUUUUACACUUUUCCUGUGUAUUUUCCUUGCAAGCAAAUGGACCCUUAGGCAAAGUGGAUGGAUGGAAGAGAUGGUGGUGAUGCGAACUUGUUCAUACCAUCUUGGCUGGUUUAUCUCAUGAGUAAAUAAUGACUAAGAAGGGAAAACUUCUUUUUGCUUUCAAGCCAGAAAAGUUACUUGUCAAAAUAAUUAUGUUUUUAAUUUUGUUUUAUUCAGCGCCAAACAUGCCUAUCUUAAUGAAGUAGGUAUUAUGUGCAUGAUACUAUGUAUUUUGUGUUUGCGAUGCUAAUUAAAUUGUUGAUAAGAAAAUACUUGACACUUUCAUAUAGUACUUUAAUACCCAACGAAAAAGAAAGUGUUUUAUGUGAGUUGUGUUUUUGGCUGGUGCGUAACUCUUAUUUCAAGGCCAAUGUAUGAGGCUGUUUAUUUGUAUGUUUCAUUCGAUAGCUUACGUCUGCAUUUUGGUUGAUGGCCUUGGAGUAAAGCAAAUACAUGGAUUUCUUUCUGAAGACUUUUAUUCAAAGAAAAACUAGGGUCAGUGAGUUCUUGCUAUAUAUGUGUGUUCUUUAUUUACUUAAAGCAUUUGGAUUAAUAGUGAGUAUUUUACACAUUGAAUGCAGAACUCCCAUGUAACAUUUUUAUGUCAAUUUUAGUUCUGGUGCUAUGUCAACCUUGAUUUGAUGUGUGAAGCCCAUGCCCAGACCUAUGUAAUGACAAAAGUCAUGAAAUUGAUGCAAAAUAGGUAAAAAUGGAAACUAAAUGAGUUGAAGAGAUGUAAGAGUUUGGUCUAUAAUGGAUUGGAAGAAGUAUAAGGAGGCAAGUGAAAGGAACAGGGGUUAUUGGCUUGAGGAUGCAGUGGAAAUCUCAUGUAGUGAGAGCUUUAAUUAUUAGUAUAGAUUCUAUUUAAUAGGAACUUCGGUUGGUUAUUGAAAUUAAUGACCUUACAGGGAUAUAAUGGUAUCUUUUGCAAACUUAUCUUAACAAAUUUAUAAAUGUCUUCAUAGUUUUUCGUCUCAAUUAUUUGCUUGUCCUUUUUUCUUUUUUGGGUUAAAAAGAAGCAUUCCCGAGAGGGGGAAAGAAUGAUCAAUGCCUUGUAUAUUUUGCAAAGAAUGACACUGGGACUUGCAUUUUGAUAUGUCAUAUGAAUGAUUUAGCAGACAUUUAGUUGUUUCAUUUUGCUUACAUGAGGUUUGCCCUAUGCAACUACCAUGAUAAUCCUGCAGAGCUGUCGAACGAGUUGUGCAGGUCCAUUUGUGCUCCUUCCAUCCAUUGCUAAAAUUUGCCGUUCAUUUAACAGAAAAUUCCGGAUCACAUUGAUUAAAAAUUAGUUGAGCAUCGCACUCCAGACAUUGUUCUUACAAGUGGAACUAGAGUUUACAGUAUUGGAAACAGGAAAGAUAGAUUUCAUCGAAAAUGGAGCGACUUUGUUGCAGAUCAUAACCUCCAAGAUGGAGACAUUCUACUCUUUCUUCCUCAAUCUCACACUUUGUUUGCUUUGUUAAUCUUUGAAACCAAUGGAAUAGAAAUUAUUUACCCCUGGCAUCGCACGUUCAUGAUUUAAAUAUUAUGUUUGUAGAUUCUGAAUUAUCAAUGAAAUUGGUCGUCCGAUGUAAUGAAAUGAUUUGUGGUUCGUACUUAAGAAUGACUUCAGUAGAUUUAACCUUUUUCCA